GAGCGCCUUGUACUGUUCCUGGUUCUUGCCAUCUUGAAUCAUGGAGGGGUUUUUCCCAUAUUAACUUCUCAAGCACACAAUGCUUGGCAUGUCUCAGAUGAUACAUUUCAGAAACUACUGCGAGCAAGAUAACACGAGGGCUGGUGGAUGUAAAUAGGCACAGUUCAUUACUGAUGUUAUAGAGGACUAAAAGUUACCGUUUUUGCUUCCAUCUACAUUACAAGGCAGAAACUUCAAAAAAAACAGAGUGAAAAAGAAGUGUUGAAUGGGAAUGGGACACAAACAAGGAGAAGGACUUCAGUUUUUGGACUAACAAUCAGCAAGUACAACUAUAACAAUUACAAUUUGGAAUGGAUCAAGAAACAAGGCCAGAUGGGGGUAAAAGAAAGAAAGAACAUAAAAACAAAA